rnacentral:tRNA from 1 species
CGCGGGGUGGAGCAAUUGGUAGCUCGCCAGGCUCAUAACCUGGAGGUUGCAGGUUCAAGUCCUGCCCCCGCUACGA